rnacentral:tmRNA from 1 species
UCACUUCACAUUAAGGCCCGCACGCCUAUAUAAGGCCCUGCCGGGUUCGCCCGGCUAUGGCGAUAAACGACGGUGUGCAAUAGGCACAGCGGACCCGGGGGCAGUACCCGGCGGCUCCACCAAGAGCUGAGUCCGCAUAGGCGGCACGCUUCAUAUGUGUCGGCUUUGCGACUCUCUGCUUCUGAUGGGGCCGAACCAGGAUCGACGUGUGUUGAAAAGCACCGACUUUCGCUCGGAAGGGGCCACCGCGACGGCUCAUCACACAAGUGCCAACGAUAACGAGGCGCUCGCGAUUGCCGCGUAACCAAUGACCUCACGGUCUAGGUUACAAGGACAAAAGCGCGGUCGGGCCGCACCGGGCAACAGAAGCGGAUUCCA